rnacentral:rRNA from 1 species
AGCAGCCGCGGUAAUUCCAGCUCCAAUAGCGUAUAUUAAAGUUGUUGCAGUUAAAAAGCUCGUAGUUGAAUUUCGGGAUCAAGUCGUCGGUCGUGCCUCGGUACGCACUGGUGACAUUGGUUUCUCCCUUCUGAAGAACCUUGAUAUCAUUAAUUUGGUGUCUUGGGGAAUCAGGACUGUUACUUUGAAAAAAUUAGAGUGUUUAAAGCAGGCUCACGCUUGAAUACAUUAGCAUGGAAUAAUGAAAUAGGACGUUUGAUUCUAUUUUGUUGGUUUCUAGGAUCGACGUAAUGAUUAAUAGGGAUAGUUGGGGGCAUUAGUAUUCAAUUGUCAGAGGUGAAAUUCUUGGAUUUAUUGAAGACUAACUACUGCGAAAGCAUUUGCCAAGGAUGUUUUCAUUAAUCAAGAACGAAAGUUAGGGGAUCGAAGACGAUCAGAUACCGUCGUAGUCUUAACCAUAAACUAUGCCGACUAGGGAUCGGAUGAUGUUAAUUUUUUAAUGUACUCAUUCGGCGCCUUA